AUGGGAAAGAGAAGCUUUUGUUUGGUCUUUUUCUACAGAUAUGUGACCAAGGCAGCUUUGAAGCCGUUCCCAAGAAUCCUUCCUCCUUCUGUGGGAUGCCUUAUCUGUGGAGUUUCUGAUUCUGAACUUCGUUCUGCAGUCCUUCACUCUUGUGCCAUGCAGUUGAGGAAGAGUUGCUCAGGAAGAUGUCUGGACAAUACACCUUCCACUGCCAUUCGCCUCUCAAUCCAUUCUGCCUUCGAUUUCAAACAAGCUGAGCUGUAUGAAGCUAAUCGUCAAAGUUUAACAUCACAUUUUUGUAGAUUAAAGGACGUUUAUCCAUAUACUUUGUCAUUUAAGCCAUCUGCGAGAAAUCCAGUGUGAUGGAUGAGAAAGGACAGUCCCAGAGCAGCGUCUCCAAGGACUCCUAGGUUUGAGGCAGACACAAAGUCAAGCCUUGCUGGUCUCUUUGCACGCAAAGGGAUGUGAGAGCCUGUGGGGACCCUGCAGAAGUCAUGGGACUGGGCUGAACUGAGAGCUCCAAAAGGUUUCCUGUUUCUCCCUUUCUGGAUAUAAAUAGCGCAUUUGAAUAAAAACCUUUGCUGUUUACUUUUCUGCUGUUCU
rnacentral:lncRNA from 1 species